CCUACGGGAGGCAGCAGUUGGGGAUCUUGCACAAUGGGCGAAAGCCUGAUGCAGCGACGCCGCGUGGAGGAUGACGGGUUUAGGCCUGUAAACUCCUUUUAUCGGGAAAGACUUAGGACGGUACCCGAUGAAUAAGCCCCGGCUAACUACGUGCCAGCAGCCGCGGUAAGACGUAGGGGGCUAGCGUUGUCCGGAUUUACUGGGCGUAAAGGGCGCGUAGGCGGCCUGUUAAGUGUGGAGUGAAAGCCCUGGGCUCAACCCAGGAACCGCUUCGCAUACUGGCGGGCUAGAGGGUCGCAGAGGCUUGUGGAAUUCCCGGUGUAGCGGUGAAAUGCGUUGAUAUCGGGAGGAACACCCAUGGCGAAGGCAGCAAGCUGGGCGACACCUGACGCUGAGGCGCGAAAGCGUGGGUAGCAAACAGGAUUAGAUACCCUGGUAGUCCACGCCCUAAACGAUGGAUGCUAGGCGUCGGGGGUAUCGACCCCCCCGGUGCCGCAGCUAACGCACUAAGCAUCCCGCCUGGGGACUACGGCCGCAAGGUUGAAACUCAAAUGAAUUGACGGGGACCCGCACAAGCGGUGGAGCAUGUGGAUUAAUUCGAUACUAACCGAAGAACCUUACCCAGGUUUGACAUCGCGAGCGAAGCCUAGAGAUAGGUUCCUCCCCCACAAGGGGACUCAAAGACAGAUGUUGCAUGGCUGUCGUCAGCUCGUGCCGUGAGGUGUACGGUUAAGUCCGCCAACGAGCGCAACCCUCGUCCUGUGUUACCAGCACGUCAUGGUGGGCACUCGCAGAGACCGCCGUGUAAGCCGGAGAAGGGGGGAUGACGUCAAGUCAGCAUGGCUCUUACGCCUGGGGCUCACACAUGCUACAAUGGGCCGCAC
rnacentral:rRNA from 1 species